GAUGAACGCUGGCGGCGUGCCUAAUACAUGCAAGUCGAACGCUGGAGAUCUAGCUUGCUAGAUCGAAGGAGUGGCGAACGGGUGAGUAAUACAUAAGCAACCUACCCACGAAGACUGGGAUAAUCUCUGGAAACGGGGACUAAUACCGGAUAGGUAAUCGGAAGGCAUCUUCUGGUUAUUAAAGGUUAAAAACACUGGUGGAUGGGCUUAUGGCGCAUUAGUUAGUUGGUGAGGUAACGGCCCACCAAGACGAUGAUGCGUAGCCGGCCUGAGCGGGUGAACGGCCACAUUGGGACUGAGACACGGCCCAGACUCCUACGGGAGGCAGCAGUAGGGAAUUGUCGGCAAUGGGGGCAACCCUGACCGAGCAACGCCGCGUGAGUGAAGACGGCCUUCGGGUUGUAAAGCUCUGUUGUAAGGGAAGAACGGUAGAUAGAGAAUAUCUAAGUGACGGUACCUUACCAGAAAGCCACGGCUAACUACGUG
rnacentral:rRNA from 1 species